ACACGGGAACGCGGUGCCUGCUUUCGCUUUAGCCGUCAUGGUCUGCGCACUUAUGCCGGCAGUUUGUUCCGUUGAAUUCUGCGCCAGCAAGUGUGGGGAUGGGCAUUCAUUUCAUCGCUUCCCGAAUGAUCCGGUGCUCAAGCAAGUGUGGGCCGACUUCGUGCGCCGCGACCGAGGCAGAGACUGGACGCCCAAUAAGCACAGUGUGGUGUGCUCACGACACUUCGUGCCAGACUCAUACACGCGAAACGUGCAGUACUUGGCCGACUUCGGGCUGGAAAGAAAGAAACAGCGUCUCAGACCAGAUGCUGUGCCAACAGUGUACCGCCCCGCUCCAGUCAUAUCCAAGCCUGACGACGAGUGUGCCAAUGCUUGCUUUUCCUUAAACAUCGCCCCGGCGUCGCCUUCGUUAAGAACAGAUCCAACCUUGUUGCACAGUUCUGUCGAUGACGGAAAGUGCGAUGCGCAGACUCAGUGCAUACUGCAAACGGCGACUCGGGCAACGCUGGCGAAGACAAAGAUGAGAGGCAUUGCGAUCCAAACGGACGAACUGAGAGCUAAGCAGAUGAGCCGUCUGCUGAGUCAGGCACGUUCGACGAUGACUUGCGAGACAUGACCUGCGGAUGCACCUGGUAAUACAGCUCACUGCGAUACAGAGACGCAAGUUGGUACGACGCCAUGGCUGCCACAUCGAUCAAAUGCCUUUGGAACAGUGAACACAAGGUGGCUGUUUUUGAAGCCCAUUGGCCACGGUUGAAGGCAUUGGAAAUACCAAGUGAAGUUUCAUUGUUGCUGACGCAUUGUCUUGCUCUGCGCACUCUCCAACAAAAGUAAACAGCGCAUGAUUUGCUGGUCUAGCCAUCCGAUUCUUCACUAGGUUGUGCAUCAUGCAAUUUGGAACGUUGCAGGGUAGCAUUUGUUUUUGUGCUUGGACGCACUUCUGGUGAUUUUUGUGCCUGAAAGCGGUGACAGUAAACAUUAAACACAAUUUAUGGCAUUGAUGUAUAUCAUGUAAUGCAGGCUCACUGUUGAGAAAUUUUUUCUUUCCAUUGAACAUUUGCCCAUCUAAUGGCAGCACCGGUCACGUUUGGAAUCUAGACUAAGUGCCAGCUACACGUGCUGGCGCUUACCUCUUGCACAUAGUUUCAUCACGUUUAUAUUUUCCUCGAUGCAAGACUGCCACACCGUGCUCGUAAGCUCUGUUCGAAAACAAUAGUGACUACACCUUGGUAACCUGCCCCGCUGGGAAGAUGACCUUACCGUCUAAUGGGGUUAAUUUUGUGGUACCCACUCGGUUGGGCUGCCAAGUGUCUUUAGUGCAUUUCUGCUGCACGAAAACAUUCCCUGUCCUUUCCAUAAAACAAAGGCAGGUAGGUGGUUAGCUUCAGCUGUCUGAGAACACCAGCUGAGCUGGUUAAGUCUGUCUAUGCAUGGCCUAAGUGAUCAACAGUCGUGGAGCAAGGAACGUCGCCGAAGCCAACGUUUCUGGCUGCCCUGGCAAAAACCAGUGCCCUUGUCGAAACAGUGGCUCCAGCGGCAUUCAUUGUUUGGCUAUUGAUCACUUCAAACCUCCAUUUUUCUGUGAACUUCUGUCUCGUUUGUACAUAGUCUGAGCGUCGUCUGAAUCCUGCACUUUGCCUCUGUGGUGAAAUAUCUUGCGACACUUCUCCAAAGCAUUGAAAUGUUGUGUCGCAUUGCCAUUACUGCUCUGCUAGGAUGACUGUAAAGAAAUGGGCAACUGUAAUGGCAGUUUCUGGUGUUCUAAAAUUUGUGCUCACAUUCUGGCAUUGCAAAUGCUCAAGCUCAGAUGCUGGAAACUUGGCAAGCCGUAUCACGCCGUUCUUCACACUGUGGCACAGUAAAAGAAACCAGUGUCGUUCUGAUAUCUGUGCUUCUCUCCUUCGAAUCCCCUUCAAGUGUUCCUUCGACUGCUGUUCCAUCACCAGCAUUACAUCCUGCCAACACUUCCUAUUGCGUGUUUGGACAGCAGCUUCUCAACAGCCAUUGAUCACCACAAACUUGGUGCGUCAAGUUUUCAAGCAAGAAAAUUAUGAAGCGUGCCCCGUUGGUCAUACUUGGGGUUCUGCAGUUUAAGCUUAAACUGUACAAAGUGUGCCGAAUCUUUCAACUUGGGGAAUCUGCUUUUAACCAAAAAGGGGCGCUGAAAGCAAAUUUACCAGAAAGCCAAGAGGACGAGCAGACGCAGCUUCUGAGCUACAUGCACUCCUAUGCAAGGAGCUUGGCACGUCCAAAGCGACGAAUGCAGCCUGCCGCCCAAGCAAUCUUUACUAUUUUUUUUACUGCUGCGAUGAAAAGUAGUAGUAGAGAGCGUAAAGGGGGCGGGAUAUGCAAAGGGAUCGAGCAAGCCCUUACCUGGGUGCUUGGUGUCCUUACACUGCAGUCGACGAACUAAGCCAGUUCAAUGAUGAUAAUGCAAUCGCAUCCACCUAGUCAUUCUUUUUUUGUAUAAUUUAGUGGAACGAAUAAAGUUUCAUUCUAUUUGUGUUCGAUUACCAAAUGCUCUCUGUUGAAUUUCUGCAUAGACACAUUGUGCACAGGUACUCAGCCCUUGCUAGACUGCGUUUAGAAAACUGUUAUUUGUAUCACAUGCAACUACAAUGUUGAAGGGCAGGACCUUCACUUACGCAGCACUUUUCAACUUCACAAGUCACAAAAUUAGUGAAGCAGAUAUUCACCGAAAAAAAAAGCGGGGGGGGGGGGGGGGGGGUAAGCUCGAAGCAAAAGGUUAUCCACUGAAAAAAGCCAGUGAAGCUUCAUCUGGAAAAAUAUAUACACAAAAAAAUUAAACUGAAAUUGGAUAAAAUGAAUAGUAGUUACAUAACCAUGUCACAGAUGUGGCCAAUUGUCCCUGCAGUUUCUGAAAAAUUGUAAAUACCAUUGGCAAAUCUGAGACAUUGAGCACUAUGUUUUAUGUCUUCAUUAGUCCAAGUUUCAAAAUACCAUUUUUCUAAGUGAAGAAGUCAAUAAGAUUCUUUGCACAUGCGUAAUUGCUGCAAAUUGUGGCAUUUAUGACAAAAUAUUUUGUUGAAUAUGAUCAGUUUGGCAAACUGCAAAGCCAUUUGAACUCUUUAAGACAAAGUUUAGGAAAAACCCUUGUGAUAACCGUCAUUCCCUCACCAGCUGAACUACAAUGCUCGCAGCUCCUGUAAACACUAACGCCAGUUCCCUCUAGUAAUUUUCGUAGCAAACUCUCAUGAUCAUUAAUGCCAAACAAAGUGGCUAGAUGGCAUAGCCACCACUGCAGUUGGGUUUGUAGAGCAUUGCAUGCAUUGUGCAACGACGAGUUCAGUUCCUACUGGUGGCACGCCGUUUUUUUCUUCCUUCCAUUAUUUCUGCAUUUCAGCCAAACAUGAAUUUCCCUUACGUUUUGCAUCACCUCAUUUGGUCCUUACUAACAAUUCCAACUGUCUUGCUGAAUAAUGCAGACCAGCAAAUGCAAUGUUCCUGCGAAAUCUGAGCAAAAUAAACAUUUACGGCUUAAAUCAAAUCUCAAUUAAAGUUUAGAAUAAAACUGCAGGUCACUGUGUAUAACAGCUGGAAAGAACUUGCAUAAAAUGAAAGCAGUGGACAUGGAAUUUGAACAUUCUAAGUUCCCUACGCGCACGCCUUCUUGCACGGAGUCGUCACUACUGCUGGGCACUUGCCAAUGGAUCAAACGGGAAAGGGUUUGUUCCAUCUGCAACUUGCAAGCAGCUGAGCUUGUCAAAAGUAAAAACUGCUUGGGAACAAGUCAUCCACCAGUGUUUUCAUGCUUGCUUACAACAGGUAGAAGACAGAGUGGCCAUCAAUAUGGCAACAUAUCUCGUGAUC